CCCCUCUCAGGGUCGCACCUGGAGAGUUUCCAGUACUCUAUCUGUCUUGACUAUGGGAGGGAAAGUCAAGCAGAAGCAUAUCCAUUCCAUUUCUAGCUUGGGAAGUGGCUAGCAAGUGGAAAGCAUUCUGCUACAAGU